GUGGGCCGUUGAAAAAUGGCGACUGUUGCUGAGCUGAAGGCGGGUGAGUGCGAAUGGGAAGCUUGCCGGCUGAACUUUGUCGGCCUUCAGCCUGUGAAAAGGAUGGGACGAAAUGAGGUUUUAAAGGACACCUUGGAAAAAAGAGGAGUAUUAGGGCAUUUAAAAGCAAGGAUUCGAGCUGAAGUUUUCAAUGCUCUUGAUGAUGAAAGUGAACCUCGACCAUUAUUGUCUCAUGAAAACCUUCUAAUUAAUGAAUUAAUUCGGGAGUAUUUGGAAUUCAACAAAUAUAAGUAUACAGCAUCUGUCCUCAUAGCAGAAUCUGGUCAACCCAUAGUUCCAUUGGACAGACAGUUUCUCAUCCGUGAACUAAAUGCAUUUGAAGAAUCAAAGGAUAAUACAAUACCUCUUUUAUAUGGAAUUUUAGCUCAUUUCUUGCAUGGAACUAAGGAUGACAUCCAAAAUACAUUUCUGAAAGGGUCUUCACUUCAGCCUCCAAACCCAAAUCUUGGCAGACAACCUAAUGGAAGAAAGCAAAUGGAUCUGAAAGCAAAAUAUUUGUGAAUCACGGUGAUCUCUUGAAGUUGAGAAAACCAAGACUAAGAGGUUCAUUGACUCAUCUAAAGCCUGUAGCUGAUCAUUUUUAGCAGAAUCAACACCCUUGAUUGCCAUUCCUGUACACUUUCCACUUAAAGAAUAUGGAGAAGUUUUCUUAGUUCCUUUUUCAGGUAUUGGUAAGGAACUGUCAUUAUUGCCUACUAUUUGGCAAGAACUUAAAAAACAAAACAAAACACACAGUACAAGAGUAAAUGUCUAAACAUCAGUAGUAUAAUGUGAAAUUCCCUCUAACCUCUUCCCUCCUUGCCUCUCCCUAACGCCUUGAUUUCCCUCCCCUCCACAGAAGGUAGUGCUGUUAGCAGCUUGGUGGGUGUCCUUCAGGAGUCAUUUCUGCAUAUUUAAAUUUAUAUGCACUGUUCCUGUGCAUAUUAUUCCUACAGUUUGCUUUUUUCACUUGUUUUAUCAAUUUAUGUAGAUCUGCUUCUACCUCGUUCUUUCUGUAGUAUUCCAUAGUACUAUUGCUAAUCACUCUUUACUGAUCUACUUUUGUAUCUUUUUUUUUUUUUUUGGCUGCAUUGGGUCUUCAUUGAUGCACAUGAGCUUUCUCUAGUUGUGAGGACCACCUACAGAAGGAGCAGGGGAGGAGCGCUAACACUGAAAACCUGCACACUUCUCCCGCAAUGAAGAGAUGACAUUUCCAUGUGGGGCAUUUUUUAUAAACUUGUAUGCAUUAAAUAACUUAUUUAUCCUCCUAAUGUUACCAGAAUUCAUCACUAAUAUUUGUACUUUGUGGAAAUGUGAGUUUCUGCAAAACCUUUAGCCCCUUGUGUUUUACUGCAUUUGUGAAUAAAAGCUAACUCUGUCAUCUAGCUUACCAGAUUUGACUUGAAAGAAAAUGUGUUGUUUUUAGGAAGAUUUUAAAGGCCCCUAAAGUUUUGAGAAAUGAAAGGGUUUUUUAGUUCCCUAUAAAUUCUUCUAAAAAAAAAUCAGGUCUUUAUAGCCAUACGCUCUGUUCUUUGUUUGGCUGCACCACAUGGCUUCCAGGAUCUUAGUACCCCAGCCAGAGACUGAGCCCAGGCCCCCGCAGUGAAAGCACUGAGUCCUGACCACUGGACUGCCAGGGAAUUCCCUGCUCUGUUCUUUACCAUGGCACAUUAAUGAAAUUUCCUUCAGGCUGGAAUUAUGUGGAUUUAUAGGAAAAUUCAUUCAUGUUUAAAAAAAAAAAAUUUAAAAGAACACCAAAACCAGAAAAAACUAUAAUUCCUAUAAAGUUUGAUUGUUUUCGGGGGUGGAGCUAGCUAUUUUUCAGAUAACCAUUUAUAAUUAGGUUUAAGUAUCUGAAUUACUACCUAAAUUUGAACAUUGAAACUUGGUAACGACGUACUUUUUCUUUCCUUAGACAGUUUGGUUUCUCUUAGAAGAUUUAAUUAAAAGGUGUGUGGGGGGGAAUAAUUCUUUUAAUUCUGCUGUAAGUAAACCAAGAGUUUAUUACGUGAAGAAUGUGGAAUAAACAUGAAGAGACAGGCUUUAUGAGAAAUACCAGAAAGUACCUUUUAAAAGAUGGCAUUGUUUAACCUCCAUGUGGCCUUCAGUUGUGCAAUUACAAGAUGAGCUAUGAAAGGGCCAACUCUUACUUGUAUGGGCUCUGAGUGUCUUAUUAAAUGUCGAUUUUUAUUCUUGGGGUAGAAAAAUAGUAAGAGCUCUUAUAGUGCCAUCUCUAAAAUGCUACUUUGAUAUUCAUUGACAUUUUUAUAAUGUGGAGUCUUCAGACUGAUUUCACUGAAAACAACAAACUAUUAUAGUAGACACCUGAUUGGCACAAAUCAUAAGGUGUAUUCAGAACAAAACUGCAUGGGCGCCUGUACACUGACAACAUUUAGCUUAAACAUUUUCCACAGGGAAGGUGAUAAGCGCUGUAGUUGACAGAAUUGGCGUUCUUUUCAGGGUAUAGAUUCUGUGCUGCUUUUGGAAAUUAUUGAAACUUGAUUUUAUUUUUGGUGGUAGUCAGGGUUCAGUCCUUACAGAUUAACCAAGAACUUUUAUCUGAAUGCAGAAAAUUAUUUAAAAAAUUGCCUUAAACCAUACUUUACAAGUCAAAGGAUUUUGAGAGGCCCUAUUGGUGGGCUAAAAUUACAUAUACAGAUGUAGAAGUAUUAUAAGGGCUCAUUUCCAUUUUUUAAAUGAAAUCUAUAGUACCUGAUUACAGUUAUGAAUUCCAUUGUAUUGUAUGGGGAGUAUAAAUAUCUGAAUUAUUCUCAGAGGAUUUAGUUUACAUGCAGGGCUGUUGGUAGUGGACACUGUUUACCUCAGGAAUUGCAAUCAUGCAGGACUGGGUUAAGAAAAAAUGCUGGAGUUUGUCAUUUUGGAUACUGAUAUAAAAUCAUCAAAAUAGAAGCUAAACAGAAUUGUCACAUGUAGUCUAUAGCACAUUUGUAUGCAUUAUUCUAUAACUGGUUUGUACCUAGGCAACUUUUAUACUUUAAGUGUAUCAUUUAAUAAAAAAAAAAAAAAAUUCAAGCAA